AUUGAACGCUGGCGGCAGGCCUAACACAUGCAAGUCGAGCGGAUGACGGGAGCUUGCUCCUUGAUUCAGCGGCGGACGGGUGAGUAAUACCUAGGAAUCUGCCUGAUAGUGGGGGACAACGUUUCGAAAGGAACGCUAAUACCGCAUACGUCCUACGGGAGAAAGCAGGGGACCUUCGGGCCUUGCGCUAUCAGAUGAGCCUAGGUCGGAUUAGCUAGUUGGUGAGGUAAUGGCUCACCAAGGCGACGAUCCGUAACUGGUCUGAGAGGAUGAUCAGUCACACUGGAACAGAGACACGGUCCAGACGCCUACGGGAGGCAGCAGUGGGGAAUAGUGGACAAUGGGCGAAAGCCUGAUCCAGCCAUGCCGCGUGUGUGAAGAAGGUCUUCGGAUUGUAAAGCACUUUAAGUUGGGAGGAAGGGCAGUAAGCUAAUACCUUGCUGUUUUGACGUUACCGACAGAAUAAGCACCGGCUAACUCUGUGCCAGCAGCCGCCGCCGUAA
rnacentral:rRNA from 1 species